GCGACUCUGAACUUACCCCCCCUCUCUCUCUCUCUCUCCCUCUCUCCCUCUGCAACUGCAAACUACAAAAUCUACGAGAAUCAGAAGUUCAAAACCCAUAUAUUUCAGUUUAUCUAUCUGUCUGCAAGAAUCAAAAGUUCAAAGGCCAUUUCGGCAUAUCAUUUCAGAUUGUUCAAAAAAUCAAAACCCAUAUCUUUCAGUUUCCAUCGCCCGCUGUUCCAGUUCGGGUUCGCCGUUCGCAAGCUUCAGCCGCUGGCCCGCUGUCUCUCAACUCUCAAGCUUGCCCCCCUCUCCCACUGCAACUGCUAACUUGUAUGGUUAGCGUCGGGCCUUAACAUUUAGCAAGAACAAGGUUGAAGAAACAUUCCUCUUCAGUUAUCAGGUCUCUUUUCUGAAAGAAGAGAGUUGAUGGGAAUGGGUGGAGUAGGCAAAAAAAAAAGAGGAAAAAUACGGUGGUAAUGCAUGAACAUUUCGAUGACCAUUACAUCGAUUGGAAAAGGGUUGUGGAUAACCAGAUUACAUUCCUCGAUGCUCCCUUUCAACCAAACAAAUUCGGUGACAAGCACUCGAACAGUUUUUGGCGGGAAUCUAUAAAGAAUAUUUUGAGGACAGUUGUCUACCUCCAUGGUAAUUUCAAAAUACAUGGUGGGCUCUCAGAGCCUUCUUCUUAUGUACUAAAGGGAGGUAAGAUGCAUGUCAUCCGAAACAAAGUGAACCAAGUUAUGAGAAAGGCAACUUAAGAAGCUAAAGACACUGAUCUAGAUGAAUUGAAAGAGAUUUUAGAUGGUGAGAUUAAACAAAUAAAUUCUUCUGCUCCAAUUGACGACUGGCAAAGGUUUAUGGAAUUCUUUCAGUUUCGUAAGGCGAAUGCGGACAAUUUAAGCAAACAUCCUGCUUUGAUGGAUGUUUGAGUACUAUAAUGCAAUAUGCCGAUAUCUAGAUUAUUGCAGUUGAACGCACAGAACUCACACAUUAAUUUGGCUAUUGAUUUGUUGCCCCAUCCAUGCAAUAACAAAGAUUGGGACACGGUGAUUACCGAAAACCAUUGGGAAGAAACAACAAAAAGAAAAGGACGAACUUGCAUUGCGUUUCAAAUUAUAGAGAGUGCAAUACUUGCGGCCUUACAUGCCACCGUUGGGAUUCCAUUAGGGACAAAUUGGAGGCCUGCCAAUAGAGGCCCAACAAAGAGUCAAACGGGGAUAACGACUACAGGGAGUCCAACACUUGAGGACUUACAUGCGACCGUUGGGAUUCCAUCAGGGACAAAUUGGAUGCCUGCCAGUAGAGGUAAAGGCCAAAUAGAGAAUCGAACAUGGACAACAGCCACAGGGAGUCCAAUACUUGCAGCCUUACAUAGGACCGUUGGGAUUCCAUCAGGGACAAAUUGGACGCCAGCCUUCCGUGGGUGUCCAACAGGGACGCUAACUUUAUCCGCAACAGCUGUUACAACCACAGGAGCAGCCACGGGAGGAACAACAGCUGUAACAGCCACAAGAGGGACAACAGCAGCAGCCACAAUAGGGAGUCCAAGCCUAUAAGGGGAAUGUGUUAUCGGACUUACUUAGGUUCAUUCGAAACAUGGUAGGUCACGCUGGGUUUCAUGCAUCAAAACUGUUUUCCCCGAACAAGAAGCUGAAUAAGGACUGCCGGAGAGAAUAUGUGUCCAGAGAAUUGGGGAAGUUUUAUCCAGGUUUUAUAUCUUCGUUACAUGUGGCGGUCACUAAAAAGUUUAGGAAAAAUCUUCUUUGAUAGCUCUAUGUUUUCUUAGUGUGAAAUUGGCUGUGUUUUCUUCAAGGGCUUGUUGUGGAGAAUAUAGAUCAACUAGUUCAAUGAUUACUUCUGUGUUAGUUUUGCUUUUGUAUGGGACUUCCUGUAAGCUCUUCAUCCUGUUGAUAGGUGUAGCUUCUUGUGUAUCGAGGCAUAUGUUUAUAUUAUUGCCCCUUCCGUUCUAUAGCUUUUUAUGUUGGUUCUUUUUAUUUUAGUUUUGCUUUUGUAGGGGACUUACCUUUUUGGUCUGUAAGCUGUGCAUCUUGUGUGUAUCGAGGCAAGUGUUGUAUAUUAUAACUUGAUCAGUGAUGUUCAAUUGUGUCCAGAGAAUUUGGGAAGUUUCAUCCAGGUUUUUAUUUUUUAUUUUUUUUACAAGUGGUGGUCACUUAAAAGUUUAUGAAAAGUCUUCUUUGAUAGC